rnacentral:lncRNA from 1 species
UUCCUCUCUUAUGAUUUUUGCUUCCCCUAGGGUCGCCUCCAAAACCGUCGUCAUCACUCUGCCUCUGCAACCGUCGUCAUCACUCCACCUCCACCGCCGUCCCUCUUUGAAGGUCGUCGGGAUCUCUCCCUCUCUCUCAGGUACGACUCUCUUCGGAUCUCUCUGGCUCUCUCUCUAACAGUCCACCUAUAGGUCAUGGCCAUCGCCGUCGCUCCACCGUCGAUUGUUCAUGUCAAAGCAUACUGCCUGUGACAUGUGAUGGCAUAAGAAGGGAAAC